CUCACCCCCACCUGCUCCCUCUAAAUCUUCCUGUGAUGGCUGAACCGCCAUGGCAGCACGUGGCCUGAAACGCACAGCAUGAAACAGCACCCAGCCGCAACGGAGCACUUCCUCACAAAGAAGAAAAGAAAGCCACACGCCCAAGAACAGGAGAGAGGAGCAGCCAGAAGCAAGUAGAAGUGACGUCUCCAGCCAUGAGGCCCGCGGGAACAAGCACGUGAGUCCCACGCACAUGGCCGAACCCCCCGCUGCUCCACUUCCUCCUGGGGCCCCCUCCUCAGUGAAGCUGGGGCAGACGCGGGACUGGAAUCACAUCCCAGGAUCUCUGGAGCUCUGGUUUCACAGACACUGUGAGCACCGGGUGCCGAGUCACCCAGAGCCUUGGUCCAUGGCUCACGACAAAGGAAGCAGGGUGACACAAGGAUAGUGAUGCCCUGGGGACGGCGCAGAGGCCUGUCUACCACCCAUGCGUCCAAGAACGAAGGCUCCCCGCGCAAGGGGGUCCCCGGGGUGGGGUGGAAAGCCUGCAAUUACUGCUGAUGACAACCUUCGGGCCAGCUCCAUGGUGCGGUUUAUGGAGACUCUGAGCCGGACACACAGAGGUUCGCUGCGGGAUGAAAGGCCAGCUGGAAGGGCAUGAUGGGCAGGGGACGGGCACGGCCUGGGAAAAGGACACAAACGCACGAAUGUCAUCAGUCUGGGCUGGUGGCUGCUGGGUGCCAUCCUUCCAUCCCACACCCACUGCCUGGGGUCAAGACUUGUCCUGCACCCGGGGAAGGAGUGACCACAACACCCUGGGCUCCUGGCACCGCUUGUCCCCUCUAAGCUCCCACUCCAGCCUCAAUGGUCCAUCCUAACGUGGUUCCCCAUGGCCCCCAGCAGGAACCAUAAACUCACAUGCCCUUGGGGACCAGGCUGGGGACCAAGGAGUGAAGGAGGCUGGUGGGAGACAAUAGGGAGUGGUGGAGACUGUGAACAACGGGAGACCACAGGCCCCUGACACUGGGCAGCUGUCACUCAGCUCCAACUCGUGCUCGUCAUGCAGGAUUGUGGGUCCAGGGCUGCCAGAGUUUUCCAUUGUUCAAGUAAGUCAGAAAGCUGGAUUGUUUUUAAUCCUGAUUUCUAAAUAUUGCAAUUCCAACAAAAC
ensembl:lncRNA